ensembl:lncRNA
CGCCCCCUCCUGCCUCUCUUGAGCAUGUGGCUGAAACCCAGACUCUUGGCCUCCCCUGCACCUGCUCUGAGGACAAAGGACCCAGGUGCUCAGGUGCAGGGCGGAGUCUUGGCCCUUCACACGGGGUCUGUCGUGAGCCUCAGUAAAGAGGGGUUCUGGCCUUGACGCCACUGAAGUAAAAAUCAGCCGCACAGAGACCUCAGGAAAGCCUCUGAACACGUGGAAAUUAACACGCUUGUAAAUAAUUCAUAGGUCAAAGAAGACGUUUCAAAGGAAACUACAAAGAAAAGCAGACAUGAAUAGAAACAAAACCCCAUCAUGAAAUCCGCGGGCGGCACACAGCCGGGUGCCGAGGGCGACCUUGACAGCCAAUCUGGACGCUCGGGGUCUCUGGCCGGCCCAGCGGGCGUGCCUGCGCCUCCGGAGAAAGCUCCUGCAGAGCCGCACUGCCCGCCUGCCCGGAUCUUGAGCGCACGCGAACUUCGGUUUGAAUUAAGUUCCUCUGGCGUUCCCGUGCCUCGGACAAAGGCCAUCGACUCAGCUGUGCUUAAGUGGUUCCGGGCUCCAGUGAUCACGGCAAAAUGGCCGAUACAUGUGCCGGUGAGCCCAGCGCCAGCUCUCUGCCCUGGACCGUCCACAGACAUCCUCUCCGAGACCUGCAGGCGACUCGGUGGGCACAGGGGUCCGGGCCUGAUGGCGCCACCCCGUCACAUCCCGCGACUGUCCCCGCAUGGCCCCAGCUCCUGCACUGGGCUUCUGCAGGUCUGUGUGGCUUUGGCCCAACACCGCCUCCCUGGAGAAAGUCUUCAGCUGCGUGUUCCUGUGGCCAGGGCGAAGGAUGCUCCGGGGAGACCAGCCUUCGUGACCCCGCAGAUGAUCGAGAACGGGGUCUGGAAGGAACCCACCCGCCACUGUUUCCCGAAGCGACCCUUUUCCCCUCUGGGGACAACCUGCUGAGAAACUGCCCCAUCAUCCUUACAUCUGUGUCUCAUCAAACACUCCGAGUCACCUGCAGACCCACCAAGCCCUUGCUGCCACAGAAGUAUGCUGGUGAAAACAAGAAGAAAAACUUUUUUUUUUUUGCUUAUUUAAAAACAUCUGCUAUUUAAAACUUUUUUUAGAAUUGUAACAGAUCUUUAAAAAGAUAAGCCGUGCCCACUGCGUGGUUUGUUGAGGCUAAAAGUGAGACCACGGGUCUGAGAAGCAAGCGGUGCUGUUUUGGCCAAGGCUGUUCCCACCCUCGUCACGGCGACAGAAGCUAACGGCCGUCUGGACCUUACGCGUCAGGCACAGACCUCAGCGACAGUGUUUCGCGUCUUAAAUCCACACCAGACCUUCCGUCAUGGGCCCGUCUGCAGACACUGGAGAGUGUUAACGCAUUCAGUCUUUCUAGCUAGAGGGUCGGCAACCCCAGGGCUUUGCUAAAUGGUGACACGGCUGAUAUUAAACCACUUCGUAUUUGAGCACAGCCUUGCACUUUGUAACCCAAGGUUGCUUCAGUAAGUAAACCUCCUGCAUCAAGGCUAUUUGAGGCCUUUUCAAAAUGAAAUAAACAGUAGUCUAUAGAGAAAGUUCA